rnacentral:rRNA from 1 species
AUUGAACGCUGGCGGCAUGCCUUACACAUGCAAGUCGAACGGCAGCAUGGGAGCAAUCCUGGUGGCGAGUGGCGAACGGGUGAGUAAUAUAUCGGAACGUGCCUAGUAGUGGGGGACAACCAUUCGAAAGAGUGGCUAAUACCGCAUACGCACUCUGGUGGAAAGUGGGGGAUCGCAAGACCUCACGCUAUUAGCGCGGCCGAUAUCAGAUUAGGUAGUUGGUGGGGUAAAGGACUACCAAGCCUGCGAUCUGCAGCUGGUCUCAGGGGACGACCAGCCACACUGGGACUGAGACACGGCCCAGACUCCUACGGGAGGCGGCAGUGGUGAAUUUUGGACAAUGGGCGCAAGCCUGAUUCAGCCAUGCCGCGUGUGGGAAGAAGGCCUUCGGGUUGUAAACCACUCUUGUCAGGGAAGAAACGGCUCUAGCUAAUAUCUGGAGCUAAUGACGGUACCUGAAGAAUAAGCACCGGCUAACUACGUGCCAGCAGCCGCAGUAA